rnacentral:rRNA from 1 species
UAGGGAAUCUUCGGCAAUGGACGAAAGUCUGACCGAGCAACGCCGCGUGAGUGAAGAAGGUUUUCGGAUCGUAAAACUCUGUUGUUAGAGAAGAACAAGUGGGAGAGUAACUGUUCCCACCUUGACGGUAUCUAACCAGAAAGCCACGGCUAACUACGUGCCAGCAGCCGCGGUAAUACGUAGGUGGCAAGCGUUGUCCGGAUUUAUUGGGCGUAAAGCGAGCGCAGGCGGUUUCUUAAGUCUGAUGUGAAAGCCCUCGGCUCAACCGAGGAAGGUCAUUGGAAACUGGGGAACUUGAAUGCAGAAGAGGAGAGUGGAAUUCCAUGUGUAGCGGUGAAAUGCGUAGAUAUAUGGAGGAACACCAGUGGCGAAGGCGACUCUCUGGUCUGUAAUUGACGCUGAGGCUCGAAAGCGUGGGGAGCAAACAGGAUUAGAUACCCUGGUAGUCCACGCCGUAAACGAUGAGUGCUAAGUGUUGGAGGGUUUCCGCCCUUCAGUGCUGCAGUUAACGCAUUAAGCACUCCGCCUGGGGAGUACGGCCGCAAGGCGUGC